CCGUCAGCACAGAGCCCGACGCGGGGCUCGAACCCACAGUCCGCGAGAUCAUGACCUGAGUUGAGGGUGGAUGCUGAACCGACUGAGCCACCCAGGCGCCCCCAUUCAAAAUGUAUUUUCAAAUGUACCUCUAUCUUGUCCCAGAAUAAAUUCCACUAUCUUUUAUGUUAAGUGGUACAUUUCUCUCCCACUGACUUAGAAGUUCUGUCUGUCUCAUCACCUGAGUGUCUCUUUGAACUUGAGUCUCUGCCUCGUGCUUUAAGUCGUGGUGUUUUAUGAUAAAAAAAUGCCAGAGCUGUUCCCCGAUGACUUCCGGGUUUCUUUUGGAAUGUUCCUCCCUAUGCCUGCCUGUUGAUUUUCUCCGACGGCUGGUAACCCUUCUAAAAAGUUUGAUGGUUGCAUUUUGGAGACCGCAUCGAAUGUAGAUUGGCACAGGCAGGGCGGACACCUGGCGCAUGUGGCUUCCUCCUGUCCCCGAGGAUGGGAACAUCGAAGUUUGCGAUGUAGAUUUUGUCGUUAGUAUCGGCACUGUAUAUGGAUUGUUUUUUUUUUCCUCCUGAGGAUUGUUUAAACAUAGGAAAGCCCUUGAUUUUUCUGCUUAGUUUUGUACCCCCAGCUACCUUGCUGAAUUCUGUGGUCUGGGGGUUUUGAGCCUUGGGCCUCAGAAUUCUCUAGAAAGCCUCCUGAGGGGCAGAUGGCAGGGCUGGGGAGGGGCCUGAGUGUGGGCCUUUGUAAGGAGUCCCCAGGCUUAGUGUUUUGGCCCCCGUGAUUUCUUCUUUUUCCCUCCAGCCUUAUUGAGAUCUGACGGAUACAGGAGUCUGUGCAAGUUUCAGAGGUAGGUGCAUACAGCGCGUUGAAUGCAAUCGUGAACGAUUGUGUACCUGGGAGGAUAAUUUCCCUACUCUGCACUUUCUAGGCCUUUUAUUCUUUUAAUUGUAUCAGCAAAUCGUUUAAGAACUUCAGUAGCAGUGAUAGGCCCUCACCAUUCCUGACUUUGAUGGAAAUGCACCUGGCCUUUUACCGUGAGGCAGGGUGCUUUUCAGAUACAUUUCCACGUAAAGGAAGGAUCCAUCUGUAAUUAUGUUAAAAGUUUCCGUCUAGAUGGUGAAUGUUAUAAAAAGGUUUUCCCUCUUAAAUAAGGAACCCAAAUCAGUAGGGCUCUAGCUGCUGAGCAGUGUUUGUAUUUAUUUUUUCUUUAAAUUUUUUUAAUGUUUUUAUUUAUUUUUGAGACAGAGAGAGACAGAGCAUGAGCAGGGGAGGGGCAGAGAGAGAGGGAGACACAGAAUCCACAGCCUCCAGGCUCCGAGCUGUCAGCACAGAGCCCGACGUGGGGCUCGAACUCACUGCGAGAUCAUGACCUGAGCUGAAGUCGGACGCUUAACCGACUAAGCCAUCCAGGCGCCCCAAGCUGGUUUGUAUUUAAACUGCCAAGCUUCAAAUGUGUGAAUUCAGUUGGACUGGGUUCAAUACGUGUGUGUUCAAAUAGGUUAGUCUGGGGCGUCUGGGGGGCUCAGUCGGUUAAGAAUAAAAUCCAUUCUGACGAUUUUUUAUAUCCUGGUAAGCUUUUCAUCUUAUGCAAGUUUUCAAGUUAACUUACGUACGUUUGACCAGACUACGUGAAAUCUUUUGAGCUGUGGCUUUUUACUUCCAUUUUCCCUACAUUAUGUUGUAGCAAUUCUGUUUUUCUUUUAAAUUAAUUUUGCUUUUAUAGUAUCUCCUGCUGUUCGUUUCUUUUUCCAGUUUGAGUUGGUUGUUAAGUUCCUACAUGAAGAAUGGAAGUAAAUGCAUAUAUAGAGGCAUCACUUUUCUCUUUGAGCUCUGCCUUCUUUGGUAGUACUGUAUAGACUCUGAUAGACGUGUUCUGGGUUCGUGGUUGGCUUCUAGAUUUUCUUUUUUAAAUCUUUAUUUCUCUUAGAGAGAGACACACACAGGGGAGGGGCAGACAGAGGGAGGCGCAUUAUCCAAAGCAGGCUCCAGGCUCCGAGCUGUCCACACAGGGCCCGACGCGGGGCUCGAACUCACGAACCGUGAGAUCGUGACCUGAGCCGAAGUCGGAGGCUCAACCGACAGAGCCCCCCCCAGGCGCCCCUGUACUCAGAGCUUUCCACUUGGAGCCAAGAGUUUAAAAAUUUUUGUGGGCUGGAGAAUUUUCGUACAAAUGGGGCUGUUCACUUUCAGUUUUAAUAAAUAGUAAUUAGGGAGCCACCUAUGUCCUGUCUACUUGGGAUUGUGGUUUUAGUUGUGCCCUUCCCUGUGACCAGGUAGAGUCCCUGAAUGAAUUCCCUGUGUGUCUUCCUACAUUUGCCGUACGGUGCCCUGUGAGUGUGGAUGUUGAGUUGCCGUGUGCCCAGGCCCGUUGGAUUUUCAGUGGUGAAUGUAUCUCGUUGAAUUCCCUGCCCUGCCUUCCCUCAUGCUUUUGGCCUCGAUUCUAAUCUUGCCUGCCGUUAAUGAUGUCACGCGGCUGUGUGUGUUGCUUGGAGUUUGCCUGGUAUAUUUUAGCUUGAUUUUUCGGAGUCUUUUUUUUCUUAUAAACUUUAUUUUGACGUAACUUGAAUCGACCUAGAGGCUGCAAAACUGGUGCUGAGAGUUCCUGGGCACUCCUCUCCCAGCUUUGCCUAAUGAAAACAUCUUCCCUCAUCAGAGCACAGCCACCCAAGCAGGACGCUGGCAUCGGCACGAUAUCAGCAACGACGCGUAGACCUUAUUCGAAUGCCGCCAGUUUUUCCAAAGCCCCUGCUUUCAGGCACACUCAAGGCUAGAGGCACGGUCUUCCAGAUGGCAAAGUCUGCCCAAGCCUCCCGACACCCACUACGCGGUCCGAGGGCCCCCCAAGCCGCCCUCAGGUUGGACAGUUCGCUGAAGAGACAGAACUCACCGAAACCUGUUGGGCUGUUGGUCAGGCUUGUUACGGGGGAGGAUACACAUCAGCGCCAGCCGCGGGGUGGACCGGCAGUGUUCCAAGAACAGAGUUUCUGGUCAUCCUCACUGAGCCCGACGGUGGUCUUGGGGAUCCCUGCCAUCAGUCCUGGGAAACUUGAUCACGUGUAGAGAUUGACGUGACCCUCGCUACCGUCAGGAUCCAGAACUGUCCCGUUUGCCUCCCAAACUCCUUCCUGCUCCCCCUCUUCCAGUCCCGCCCUCCUAACGCUGACCCCUGACAACCUGUCAUCCACUCUGUCACCUUGUCACUUCGAGGAUGUUAGUAUAGUUGGAUUGCAGAGUGAUGUUAGUUGCAGGUGUACAAGACGGUGACUCAGCACUUCUGUACGUCACCCCGUGCGCCUCAUGCAAGGUGUUGCCGUGCGGUCUCCAGAGCUCAGCCGGCGAGGUUGGGGUGGACGCGGGCCCGGGCCCAGGCUUCCUGCCGGUUUCCCAAGAAGCAGAUCAGGUGAGGGACCUACUGCACGGUGUCCUAAAAGCGUGCCUCGGGAGGGGGGCUGGGGGAGGGCCACAGUCACAUAAAAAUAUAGAUUAUUGAGGGGUUGGACGCAGGCGGGGGCCGCUAUGCAUCUUCCUGGUGAACCUGGGCUUUCUCGGCUCUGGAACAGAACUUUUCGCAUAGUUUGAGCAGCUCUGACAAAAUGAACACGGAUGAAGCCAGUGCGGUUAAAAGCAACAAGUCUGCAAAAAGGUGAAAAGAAAAUGGGGGUCAGAGGGCACGGUGCCACCCUGAGGCUCUCUUCCCCACGUCUUGGCUUUGGUUGCAGAGAGCCCAGAGGUGAGGGGCGAGGACCCGGGAGCCGAGGACCAGGACUUCCCCUCCCGGGAGGGACGGAUGUCCGUGCAGCUCCACAGGACCACCCCGUCCUUCCAGGGGGCUCAGGGCUGGGGUGGGGGUGCGCUACCCCCUCCGGCAGUAACAGGACCCUCCCCCAUCCAUCCUGAGGGCAGACACCCCCCACCCCGGCCUCGUGCUCCGAGCAGUCGUGUCCAGCACCUCAGACCCGACCGUGUCAUGACCUGUGGCCAUGACCUACGCCGGCCUCCCCACCUGCUGGCUCCCACCACGUAAGUGGCUCUGGUCACUGCUGCUGCUCAGGUACCCUCCUCCCCCCACCCCUCCCCUCCUCCCACUUGUGUGCUCUGUUAGCUUCAGGCAAAGGCGGCCAGUCACCCCAGGCAGUUCACAAAGAAAAGGCUGGAAUCGCGUCCGCCUGGGCGGGGAGGCAGGGGAGCCCCAGGAUUCCACCCCGGGGCAGGUGCGCUCGGGGCCCUGGACGGCUGCGGUCAUUGAAUCAUGUUGUGUUUAGCCCGAGCUGCUGGGUGGCCCGCUCCCUGUCUUGGGGUCAGCGGGUGCCCAAGACCCACGAGCCCCCUGCCAGGGGGGGCAGAAUGAGCCGGGACUGUCACCCGCCAUGGCGCAGCCCCCGGGCCUUGCAGCGUCGCUCUGAGCCGCCAGCCCUGGGACAGGGGGGCUGGGAGGCCGUGUCCCCUUCUGCCCUCCGUGGCUCUCCCGGUGGAGGUGCCUCAUCCUCUGGUUCCCCGUGUACUCCAUGACCCCAUCACAUCGCCCUCCCACCCCGUGCGGCCGGCCGGGCACACGUAGGGACUUCGCACCUGGAACACCGCAUGUCGGCGCCCAGGCACCGGCCUCUGCUGACCCCUCACGUCCCCGCCCACUCACCGAGGGCACCCAGGUUCUCCGUCUGGAAGAUCUUCUGCAGGGGCGGGAUGUAAAUCACGGCCAGCUGGCCCAGAAUGGAGCCCAGCACCGAGUACAGGAACAUGGAGUUCCGCAGAAAGCCAAUCUCAAAUAUCAGCUUGGUCUGUGGGAGGAGAAGGGCACGUGUCAGCCGGGUCCCAAGCCACGGCUCAGACGGCGAUGCUUACAGAGGCCUACUCGGGGCGCGGCCGCACCAUUCGUCCCCGAGAGCGCGACUGGGUCCAGCCAGGAAGGGAGGGGAGGGCAGCCCAGGGCUCACCUGAGAGCGGCAGGUCAAGGCGUUGAAGAGGUCGAAGAACACAAAGCAGGACAGGGCUAUAGCUGCAUCCACUGAGUGUCACGGACAGAGGACGCACACCCUCCCUGGUGCUGCUGUAGGGACCUGAGGCAGGUCUCCUCCCGGGCCUGGCCUGGAGCCAAGGUGGAGCACAGGCUGGACACGGGCGGCCACACCACCUUCCUGGGCAGAAGAUAAAGAGGGUCCCGCUGAUGAUGACAGCAGCCGACAGGAGGAUUUUCAGGAUCAGGGCUUUGCUGAGAAUCGUGUCCUUGACGUUCCGCGGUGGCUGUCGGAGGGCGUCUUUGUCAACCGGCUCUACCCCCAAGCUGCUUGGAACAAGACAGGGGAACCUUGACAUCAACCACGAGGACGCUUAAAGUGCUGAAGCUGUACAGGCUCUCAGGUCAGCCCCGAAGACACAGCAAAGCGGGGGCUUUGGCCAAGUGCCCCCAGGUCGUCGGCAGGAGCUCGGUCUGGUCCCACUCUUAGGGGGACUUCUCCGUCCUUGCUGGAAGCCCGCUCCUCACAUCCUCUGCCCUCACCCUAACUCCUUCCAGGGUGCCCACCCCCCACCCCACCGGCCUGGGCCCCAGGGGCAGCCACACACCCGUCCCUGAGCACGGCGGAGGAAAACCAUCCCCCAGCCGACCACACCACUGUCCUGGAGCCACUCUGGGUCACCCCUCAUGAUCGCACAGCUUCCAUCACAAGGGGACGCCCAGCAGGCUGGAGAAACGGGGUCCAGACGCCGCCCCCCAGGGACCCGCCUUCAGCCGGCGGCGCAACAGCGGGACUGGGGCUAGACCAGCGGAAGACGGGACGUGGGGCACCGAGGAGGAAGCCGGCUGCAGAGACGGCACGCUGUAUCCCAGCGUGUGAAGAGGGACCUCCCCCUGGGCCCGGAGGGACAAAGCGGGACUCGACUCCUGCCCUCAGCGGCAACAACUGUGAUAAUUCAUGGUGACAUAUAUGUAUCACAUUUACAUCACACACACAUAUAUAAUCAACAACAGCAUGUACUGUGUGCUCGAACCCAGUGCCUCGCUUGUUCCUGGACGUCUGGCUCCCCGACUCCGAAGGUGGUGGUUCCUCCUGCCCGUUCAGCUACCCUCACCCUCCCUUCUCACCCAUCCACCCAGCAACUAACUCGCCGACCCCCUACUGUGUGCCCGGCACCGUCCCGGGAGCCGGGAAAUGCUACGAGGAACAAAAACCUUGCCAUAGGGGAAGCGGGUCAUAAUCAGAUAAACGAGGACACACGUAUUUUCUCCUCUAGGGACAAAGAAAGCAGCGUAAGGAGGGAGAGCCCGGGGGCUGCUGUUAGAGCGAUCACGGAGGACAUCUCCCAAGUGGGGAGGUGAAGAGGGGGACUGAGGCGUGGAGUCACCCAGGGAGCACAUCCCCCCCUCCGCCGCCCGCCCCGGCUGCCCGUGCAGGUGCUUCCUCCCAUGCCCAGGGCAUCCCGCUGGCUGUCUUCCCCACGGUGGGCCACACUCCGGCUUUGCAGGACUCCCGGGGACGGCGUCCCGUACUCGGUGCAAGGGACCCGAGGCGGCAGAGCCUCGAGGACAGCCCGGCGCCUCACCUCUGCGCCGGUGGCCCGUCCAUGAUGAUGUUGAUCCACAGGAUCUGCAUGGCGUUGAGCGGGCUGGGCAGGUCGCACACGGUGGACAGAGCGAUGAGGCUCAGGGCCGAGAUGCUCCUGCGGGGCACACACCGGGCACCGUCGAUGGCUGCACGCCGGACGCACGUGCAGCCCGACGGCCCUCGGAGACACCGGCCUUGACUUACGUGCUCAGCUGAAACCGCACGAAGUUUUUGAUGUUAUGAAAAAUCCCCUUGCCUUCCUCCACCGCGUUCCUGCAAGAGGACAGAGCGUUUCUUCGCAGAGGGCCCGCUGGGAGCGUCCGGGCACCUCCGGCAGCCGUGGGAGGGAGCGAUGGUGUCACCGGAGGUGGCCUCCCACGCAGGCGCCCCUUCCCCUUCCCCCCCGCUGGCGGCUCCAGGACCGAGAGGUACAGGAGGACGGUGGCCUGGCCAGCACCACCCGCCGCGGGGGCCCGGACCGCAGGCCACGAUCACCCUCUGUACGAAGACCAUAGAUCAUUCUCCCGCCUGAGCCCAGGGACCCCGCCCUCACCCGGGACUUGGGAAGCACUGACUGCAACCCAGAGAUGCAUCUGGACGACAGGCACAGCAAGACCGAUCAAACCUGCUAAUUCGCCCCAGGGGUGUGGCACGGGGCGGGGGUGGGGGAGAGAAUUAAGAGGCUGAAAAACAUCCUUGGUAUGUUCAGAAAACUGUAAAAGUCCUUGAAAAACCUUGAUCUUGAGUCACGAAUGCAGAAAACUGCCUAACCCUUUUUUUUCUGCUAAUUUUUUUUUUUUUUUUGCAAAAGAACUAAAAUUACAGAGUUAUUUAUCAACUGCAUCUCAGGACUUUUUUUCUUUUUUUUUUUUUUUUAACUAAGGGGGAAGGGGGCUAAGGAUUCCUAGGGUGAGUCAAUCCAUUUACAAAGACAAGACUCCUCCGUAAAGUCAAAAAUCGCACCCAAAUUCAGUUUUUGCUCAUUCAGAGUUCUGACAGCACGCUUAAGAAAACUUCCAUGCCACCCCCCAUUAUUACAAUGGAUUUAUGAGUAAAGUCUCGAUUACAACGAAUUAAAAUCAGAGCUAGAGGGAAGGCAAACUUGUUAAGAAAACAGAAAAGGGAAACAAGAAACCAGGUGUUUUGCGAUCUCGGGAGCUUGCGAUCACACGAGGGCCAACAAUUAGACGCUCCUGCCCCGUCGCUCGUCGCUUUCAGCGCAUGAAACAUACGCAUCCGCACAAACACGGCCCUCCAGCCGCACAUGCUCACUCUUCGCGUUUUUCACUUAACCCCACAAUGUGAGCGUUUCCCCGUCUUUAAAACGUUCCCCCAAAACGUGAUGUUUCGUGGCUUCGUGGCACUCCCGCCCUUGCUGUCGGCAGUUAGUGUGGCCUAGGAUUUCCCCACAGACGGUGCUGCGGCCAACACAUCGGAGCCCGCCUCCGUCUGUGCACCUGACCCCGGCUCGCCCGUCGGAUGCACCCUCAGGCCGUGAGGGGAGCAUGUCCCGAAGGGGGCAGCGGAUCACCGCGGGCAUAUCUGCCGCUGAAAACCAGCCAUGGAGCCACUCACAUGAUGGCCGAGAAGUCAUCAUCCACCAGGAUCACGUUGGCAGCCUCUUUGCUGACAUCUGUCCCCGUCUGCCCCAUGGCGAUCCCGAUGUCCGCAGACUUCAGGGCGACCGCGUCGUUCACCCCGUCCCCCGUCAUGGCCACGACUGCCCCCGACUCCUGCAAAGCCUUUGGAAAGAGGAGGUGAGUGAAGGCUCAUUCGUGUUCUCCACUAACAAACAAAAGUCGACAACUUACCCCUGAAACCACGCAGUGCCCCGUGGGAUUAAGUAAGUCUUAGGAAUGACUUGCAUGGAGGUUUCCUCCCUAGAACUAAAGCCCCCCAAACAGCACGAAGAAUAAAACAGCACAGAGCUAAAGAACACCUUUUCUUUCUCUCUUUUUUAAAAUUUAUUUGGAGAGCGAGAGCGCGUGCUUGCAAGCAAGGGAGGGGCAGAGAGAGAGGGAGACAGAGGAUCCAAAGCGGGCUCUGGGCUGACGGCAGACAGCCCGAUGUGGGGCUCGACCUCCUGAACCGUGAGAUCACGACCUAAGCUGAAGCUGGAUGCUUAAGCGACCGAGCCGCCCAGGCGCCCCAAGAGCUCAUUUUCAAAGCACUUCCGGGGAGGAGACCCAGCGCACCAGCAGCGCCCUCCCCCGGGCACAGGCAGAAAAUCACAUCCAGUCUCCACCGGGCACCCGCCGUGUGCCAGGUGCUGCUCCAAGAGCCGCACGGCCCGGCCUCCUGGAAUCCUCUCACUAGCCUUGUGAGUUGGCUGACGUCAUCCAUACAACCCCGGUUUACAGACUGGGAAACUGAGGCCUGGAGUUCAGUAACCAGAAUAAUGCCAGGGCGCUUGACUAACAGAGACUCCCUGCUUUUUAGUUUGCCCUCCGCACCACCCAAUUCCUGCUCCUGCUUUUGCUGUACGUGGCCAAGGACAGCCCGUUCUCCCCUCCCCGGGGGCUGGGCAAAGGCCCCGCCUGGUGCAGCCGUCCUGGGCCUAGAGAAAGAAGCACAGCUUGAGGACGGCCAACGCUCCUGCCAGCUUGGACCCAGGACCUCCCCCCGGGGGCAGAGCCACCGCCCUGGACUGACCCCAACGGACGCAUGAGGCACACAGCUUACCUUUAUGAUUUUGAGCUUGUGCUUCGGGCUGGUCCUGAAGAAGACAGAAACCUGGACGCAGAGGCGGAGAAGAGUCUGUGAACUUGGGGCUGAAACUCCCCCCCACCCCCGCCCCGCCCCGCCAAGCCCCCUGGGAGGACCCCACCUUCCCGACACAGCCAGCCAGCUCGUCCUGCCCCGUGCUCUCCACCUCCUCCCCGGACAUGGCUUUCAGCUUCCCGUUGCACAGGCCAAUAGUCCUUCCUGCGAGGUGCGGAGAGCCUGCUCUGAGGGCCCGCUCCCGCCCCUCACUCCCCCUGCCUGACAUCAGGCCCCGCCUGGGCCGCAGACCACGAGCACAGCAGAGCCGCGACGGCGACCCCCCCACCGAGCACCUGCCACGCGACAUGAUCCCAAUUCCAUCCACAGAACUAAGGCCUUAUUGCCCCUGCUUUAACGAUGAGGAAACGGAGGGGAGUGACCUCCCCCAGGUCCCAGAGCUGCCGAGCGGCGAUGCUGGGACCUGAUGUGGUUUUGUCUGAUUCUAGAGUCUGAUUUUUUUCACAGCGCCGGGUGCCUUGAGACAGAGCAGGGAGAACCAAUCACGUGAAUAAGAAGAACGAGAAGUGGGGGGGGGAUGGCCGGCCCCCUGUGGGAGAAGAGCCCGGAGGCCAGGGUGGUUCAGUGACCCGCCCGGGGCACGCAGAACCAGACCAGAACCCGGACACGGGCAGAUGCUGUCUGGGAAGAGGUGGUGAGGUCACGGCUGAGAGCCGUGGCCGGCUCUGCCCCCUUCGGGGCACCUGCCGACACUUUAGAGACAGCCGACUCUGUCGGGGGGGGUGCCGGCCCGUGAACCUCAGGGUCUCUGCGAGCUCACAGCAGGUGGGUGGGGGCGGGUUAACCCACAGGAGCGGCCCCCUCCCCGCCCGGCGCCCACUGCGCCCCACUCACCUAUAGCAGAGGCGGUCUCCAGAGCAUCUCCCGUUAUCAUCGUCACGGACACGCCGGACUGGCGGAGAACCCGCACCGCUUCCUUCACGCCGGCCCUCGGAGGGUCGAUGAUUCCAACGAGACCCAGAAAAGUCAGCCUCCCCAGCUCGGGUCCGGAAGCCAGGGCCAGCACUGAGGAGACACCGAGAGCCGUGGGAGGUCCCCCGCGGGCCCCAGGGGUGGGAGGACUCUGUGAGCUCGUCCCGGCCUUGACUCUGUUUCGGUGCAUGUACCAUUGGUACAGGUGCCAGGGCUGCGGGUGCCAAGCCUCCCUUUCCCCAAGCUCCCCUCCCCGCCCUGCCAGGCUCUGUCUCAGCCUCGCCUCGCCUCGCCCCCUUAUCAGCAAGCUGCUAGCAAUUUACAACGUCUGUUUCCCGCAGGGAAAACCCAAGGCAACUGACACCCGGCCCCAGGCUUCUCACUUUCCCCGGAGGGAACCCACGGGUUCCAGAGCGCUUCUCUGAAAACGGACAGGCACUGUGGGAAACCCGAGUUUCCAGCUCAUCGGGGAAGGCGGCGUCCCCGAUGCAGGAGACUGGAAACGGCCGAGGAAUGAAAUGUCUGCCUUGAUGCGAAAGAGCUUUGGGUUUUCGUGACCGUGGGCGACGAGCAGGAUGACCAAUCGGGAAAAUCAGCGUUUCCGGGGCGCCUCAGUCACGCGUCUGGACUAGCGGGUGUCACGUGGUGGCAGAGGUGGGCCGGGGGCGGGGAGGGGGGGGGGGCCUCUCUGCCUUUCACGUGACCACUGACCCGGAAGGUCAAUGCUGCACACUUAAAGCGCGGCGCUGGGGACGAGAGGUACCAACCCCGCAGGCCGAGCGACCCCAUCCUCCUUUCCUCCUGCUGGCACAAGGCUGUCUGCUGGGGCGUCAGUGGCAGGGAGAGGCCUCCGUUGUUGUACGAGGUACAGUGAUUAAUCACCUCUUCGAAGGCCCCCUUCAUGAAGUAAACGUCUUCCUGGUCCUUGGGAAAGAAGAAAAGGAAAACGGCUGCAUUCCUCGGGUCGGCUCCUUGGAGAACUUCGAUCCGCGGCCUCUCUGUGCGUCAGGUGCCCUGUUAACGUCACCGAGAGCAUCCCGUACGUGUCAUCAGCCACACCCCAACCACUGUUAGGCCUUUAUGUGCGUGACUGACUGCGGGACGUCUAUUUCCACUGGGACUGUCGCCUCCCGAGGGCAGGUCCCCUUUCUGUUUUGUUCACCCCUGCACGGGGCUCAUCGAGCCCCGAACCGCUCUCCUGUGUAUUCGUUAAGCUCGGUCUCCUGCGGAUGGGAAGCUCCACGCGGAAGGCGCCGUGACAGCCUGGGUCACACUGUCCCCGGCAUCAGCACGGCGCCUGAAAGCUCACGGCGGGCGGGGGGAUGAGGUUGUGUGAACCGAUACGGAAAGAUGUCUGAGACAUCGCUGAAAGGGGAGAGAGCAGAUUACAAACCCCCACCCACAGCACGACCUAGUUUCAAAACUACCACCCCGUACGUCGCUCUCUGCAUGUUUAGGACCUCAAAGGUCCCAUCCCAGACCGUGGAGGGGGGCUGCCUUGGGUCGGGAGACACGAAGGGCGGGAUUAUACGGCGCUUCCGUUUUUAAGUCACGUUUCUAGAAUCUAUUUCAGUGAGAAUAUAUUACCAGGGUCUUUGGGGAGAAAAAAAAGAUGUGAAGGUGAGCGCAAGGGUGUAUCUGUGGGCGCACACGUAUGACACGUGAGCUCGCCGUUCACACCAUCUGGGGUGGGUGCUGGGAUGCGCCUCCCGGUCCCCCGCAGGGCUGAAGGGCUGUCCCCACCUGGUGACGAUCUGAGGCACUCAUACGUGUAAAGAACUCAGCACCAGGAUGUUAAGAAGGGACCUCCAAGUUAGCAAGAGGGUUUGCUGCUAACGGCGGGAGCCCACGUCAAAAUUCCCCGCACGCACAGGGAAGCUGCAUUUUUAACCGAUUCCCCGGGGGAUGCCGCUGGUCUGGGAAGCGCGCCUUGAGAACCACCGUUUCGGACCAAAAUCUCGGCAGGAGACGCCAAAUGAUCAGAGGAAUCUUUAACAUCAGCUAAGCCCAUCUAGGAAAAGCAAACGCCACGCUUCUCGUGAGUCCUCCUGAGUCAGCCUCGCUGCAAAGCUCAGGCCGCCUCCGUUAUUCAUCCGUCAAACCACUUCCGGCAGGGGCAGGGCCAGCUGGUCCUGGCGACGGCUUCUGGCCAAAACGUGCUCAGAAACAAAAGCCCGUGGGCUCCCCUCCAGGAGGAAUGUUCCGGACUCAAAGAGUACCCGGACAGAGAGUCUAUCUGUGGGAUUAAAUCUCAUGGGGACUGAUCAGGAACAAAAGAAAUGCCCGAAAAGGCUCUUCGGGAAGGUCUGGUGAAUGACCCUGCAUCCCUCCAAAAGACGCGUCGACGCCCUAACCCCUCAGUGUCUGCGAACGUGGUCUUGUUUGGAAACAGGGUCUCGGGGGAGCGGAACCAAGUUAAGAUGAGGUCGUUCGCGUGUGUCCAGAUCCGAUAAGACGGGUGGUCCUUGGACGAAGGGGACAGGGCCACGUGAAGACGUGUCCGUGAGCCAAGGAGCAUCUGGCAUGACUGGUCACAGUUGGAGGGGAGGGGACCAGGGCGCUGCCCACACCUUCCUUUCAGACCUCCAGCUUCGGGAACCGUGACAGUGAUUCAGGCCCCCAGGUGGCAGUCCUUUAUUUCAGCCACUGCGGGGAAGCUAGCAAGGGCGUGACAGUGGAGAAACGGUUCAGAACCACUGACCUCGACCCCGAGACGGGUUUGAGGACGGACAUGAUAAACACAGAGCGCCGAGCACCGAGCCUGCCACACGGUCACGGGAGGCACAUCAUACAUGUCAGCUGUCACCAGGCUCCCCUAACUGGUUCCGGCCCACAGAAGAGUAAAUCGUGACCCGUAAAGGAGAGGGGGUUCUGGAACAUCGGUCCUCUCUGGGCUGCACGGGAGGCAGGCGGCGGGAGCAGGGGUGGAGACCCCACACCGGGGUUCUCUCCUGCUAGGACAGUCGGGCCACUGUCCCCGUCCCGGACGGCAGCCUGCGGUUGAACAGGGCCAGCCGGGGACCUUUCAGAAGAGGCAGUAAGGUCUAGUCGGUAUGACUGUCAUCCUGGAAAGAAUUUUCUUCCCUGAGUGUAACAGUUUCUUAACAUAGCUUGUUUACAGUUACAGGGACUUUCUGUUUUAAGUUUAUUUAUUUUGAGAGAGAGACAGACACAGAGACAGUAAGGGAGAGAGAGAGAGAGAGAGAGAGAGAGAGAGAGAGAGAGAGAG